UCACAAUCUUUAAAGGGAACCAGGAUCAUUGUUCCUGGACAGGACUCGGAUUCUGGUGGGAAUAGUGGUGGUUGCUGCAUGUCGUCGUGCUUUUUUAUUGAGUUCUGGAGGUCUUUUUAUUUAUCCGAAAUCAUAAUAUAACUGGGAAUGAUUUCUGUUUUAUGUAGAAUAGGGAAUUGUUGUUGAUGAUGAAGUUGAUUUAGAUAGUUCGUUUAGCUAUUUGUGUAUACAGUUCAUUAAGUUGUUCACUGGGCAUCAGGGGCGGAGCUACAACCCUGUCUACGGGUUUUGUCAUGUAUUUGUGUUUAAAA
rnacentral:lncRNA from 1 species